rnacentral:rRNA from 1 species
AGCGAACGCUGGCGGCAGGCCUAACACAUGCAAGUCGAACGAACUCUUCGGAGUUAGUGGCGGACGGGUGAGUAACACGUGGGAACGUGCCUUUAGGUUCGGAAUAACUCAGGGAAACUUGUGCUAAUACCGAAUGUGCCCUUCGGGGGAAAGAUUUAUCGCCUUUAGAGCGGCCCGCGUCUGAUUAGCUCGUUGGUGAGGUAAAGGCUCACCAAGGCGACGAUCAGUAGCUGGUCUGAGAGGAUGAUCAGCCACAUUGGGACUGAGACACGGCCCAAACUCCUACGGGAUGCAGCAGUGGGGAAUCUUGCGCAAUGGGCGAAAGCCUGACGCAGCCAUGCCGCGUGAAUGAUGAAGGUCUUAGGAUUGUAAAAUUCUUUCACCGGGGACGAUAAUGACGGUACCCGGAGAAGAAGCCCCGGCUAACUUCGUG